UACAGAGGUCUCAAGCGUUGUUCGGAUUCAUUGGGCGUAAAGGGUGCGUAGGCGGCGCGGUAAGUCGGGUGUGAAAUCUCGGAGCUUAACUCCGAAACUGCAUUCGAUACUGCCGUGCUUGAGGACUGGAGAGGAGACUGGAAUACUUGGUGUAGCAGUGAAAUGCGUAGAUAUCAAGUGGAACACCAGUGGCGAAGGCGAGUCUCUGGACAGUUCCUGACACUGAGGCACGAAGGCCAGGGGAGCAAACGGG
rnacentral:rRNA from 1 species